AGCUGAUGGGAGGUACGGUUGGAGUCAGAAUGGCUGCUGGUGACAAGGGAUAGUUGCUGCCCCUGAAUUCCUCCUUUAAUUUUUGCUGCUUUCAAUUGGAGAAAAUCAAGAAUCCCACAAUUUAGGGAGUAAAGAAGAAGAGGUAAAGACUUGGUGAUGGAAAGCACCACAAAAUUUGAAGGAUUUCACCAGAAAAAUAAAAAAUGGUUGGAUUCUAAGUUGGGCUUUGAAGAUUCUCCCUCCCCAGUGUCUAUUUUCCAAAC
rnacentral:misc_RNA from 1 species